ensembl:misc_RNA 7SK 7SK RNA
AGAUGUGAGGGUGAUCUGGCUGCGAUAUCUGUUACCCUACUGAUUACGAGGGUUGAUUGGGCUGAUCUGGCUGCCUAGGUGGGUGUCCCCUUCAUCACUGCUCCACAUGUGUCCCUCCCUAAGCCACGUGCUAGGUCAAAGCUGUAUGUUCAGUUGAAGAGGACGACCGUCCCUGAUAGAAGAGGGAUAAAGAGGACCUUUCUUUGGUCAAGGGUAUAUAAGUAGCUGCACUCCCCUGCUAGAAACUCCAAACAAGCUCUCAAGGUCCAUUUGUAGGAGGAUGUAGGGUAGUCAAGCUUCUAAGACUCCAGACACAUCUAAAUGGGGUUGCUGCACUUGGCAGUCUGCCUUUCUUA